GGCCCAUUAGUCUAGGGGUUAGGACGUUGGAUUUUGACCUGACAAUCGGAAUCUUCCAAAGACACCAGUUCGAAUCUGGUAUGGACCU
rnacentral:tRNA from 1 species